UCGGUUCUUCUAUGUCGGUUUUUUCUAAUGGGUCUCCGCCUCGUGCGGCUGCAGCCUUGUGCUGAUGCCUGACCCUCGGUUUCGACUUGCUCCCGGUGGGCUUUCCGCCUGGUACCUGCAGUGGGCUCCCUCUCGAAAGGGAGGGGCCAAUGGUCCCUGCAGCGUCCUUUGGGUGGAGGCCACGAAUGCAGUCGCACUGUCCCAUGCCUGUAGUAAUGAGUGUUUUUGUUUCUUAGGCAGCAAUGCCUGGAAUGUAAUCAAUUA
rnacentral:misc_RNA from 1 species